AUGCAGUUUAUGUUAAACCUUCGUGUUACCCACGGUGUUCCUCUCUGUCUCUCCGGAAUCACCAACCCUCUCGCUCUUUCCAAAGAGAUGGCAGAUCACGAUCGUAGAAGAAACGCCAUGAGAAAGCUAAGAUCAGUGCAUGCAAAACAAGAUAAGAGUGGUGAAAGAAAGAGUGGUUUCGUUGAGAUCAAAGGUGGUGAAUCUGGUGAAGGUUAUGAUCAGGAAGAUCUCGAUGAAAUCUUGUAUCAAUUGUCUCGUAGUUAUUAUCUUACAGGUUUAUCAGCAAAAGCUGCUUAA